rnacentral:rRNA from 1 species
AGAGUUUGAUCCUGGCUCAGGACGAACGCUGGCGGCAUGCCUAAUACAUGCAAGUCGAACGAACCAACCUUAAGAAAUAGAAGUACUUGUACCGAAGCGGAAGAAGAAUUUUUGGUUAGUGGCGAACGGGUGAGUAACACGUAGGUAACCUACCUUUAAGACGCGGAUAACCACUGGAAACGGUGACUAAUAGGCGAUAUGAUAUAAAGUGGCAUCACUUAAUAUUAAAAGGAGCUUUCGGGCUUCACUUAGAGAUGGACCUGCGGCGCAUUAGCUAGUAGGCGGGGUAAAGGCCCACCUAGGCGACGAUGCGUAGCCGGCCUGAGAGGGUGAACGGCACACUGGGACUGA